AAGAAAUUAGUUAAUCUAUAACAUUAGAUUGUCAGACUAAAAUAAUUUUUUAUAAAAAAUAUUUCUUA
rnacentral:tRNA from 1 species